ACAAACCAUCCGGGCUCGCUCCAGUCCCGUACGGCCGCCGUAAGGCUCCUCACAGCGCGCCGGCUCGGACGCGGUGCAGUGAGCUGCCGCGGGGACAGCUGCCCGGGACCUGGGGAGAACAGAGGGAGGGCAUCUGCACCGCUGAAAAAAGCGAACCUCCAUCUGCACACACACAAAGAACCUAUGAACCACUGACCGGUCUGUCUGUGAUAACGUCGUUGCACACACUGGAUACAAGGCCGUCAUUUGCUGCUCAUACUGAUGGACCACAUACAUUCAGGUACUCAAGAAACUGAAACAGAGUAAAAGGAUUGAGGUCACAGUGCAGUAUAGCAGCCUGGGUAAACAGAUACACAGCUGUCCUGGAGAAAUUUCAUGUCCUUUUGGAUGUGUGUUUAGCUGAAAAUGUACAUUUCUGAGAAAUAUCAGGAACUGCAUCUCAACUGCAUCUCCGGGUAAAGACAGAAAUUCCUCCUUCAGUUCUUGAAGCUUCUCACGUUCCUCAACACUAUUAUGGGCGACCAUUAAAUGAUCAUUUGUAUGACAGCUUUACUUAAAACCUACUGGUGACAACGAUGGCACCUGAACAAUGGAAUAAGGCAAAGCAACCAGGAGAGCUUCCAUCCUGACUUUGGAGCUUGGAAUUCAUGAGUUAAUUCUCAAGAUUUAGGGGAAGGUGUGUCCCAGCAAUUUCAACUAGUUACAUUGUUUUCUAAAGCUCCAUGUAUUUGAAAGAGUUCCGGAGCAUAGAAAGGACCAAAGGAAAAGCCAAUCCUUUGAAAUCUUUUCCCUUUGUUGCCACUGAGGGUUACAUCCUGACAUUCAUUUUAGAGCUGACAAUCACAUUUCCUGUCUUGGACACCAGACCACCCUGCUGAAGUGUACAGAGAUCAAAUUUGUGUAUGCAAGCUAUAAAUCAUAAUUUCACCUUCAUCUGUAACUAUUUGUGCAUAAAUUUAGGGGAGAGAAAAAUAGACCACAAGUCUAAAUAGUAAAUACUCUUCUAUGUUAAUUAUUUAAAAAGGAAAGAAGCUAAGAAGAAUACUGCAUAAGCGAGUGAAAUUGGAGAUACCCCAAGAAACAGAGAAGAGAGUAAUCACUAUCACUAUCUACCAGAAGUGCAUCCAGAAUUCAUGGACAUUUAAAAUCAUGUUUGCUGUAUUUGAGCCUUUAAAAAACAUCCAUUGUUAAAAAUUACGGGUUACGGUUUAUGCAAUUUAUCAUUUAUUCUUAGAUAUAAUGUUGUUUGCAAGGGCUUGGGUUGCAUAUGCAGGCCUAACUGCAUAAUAAUAAUAAUAAUAAUAAAAUAAUAUAAGG
rnacentral:lncRNA from 7 species